CAGUCGCCGCGGGAAUACAGAGGGUGCGAGCGUUAAUCGGAAUUACUGGGCGUAAAGCGCACGCAGGCGGUCUGACAAGUCAGAUGUGAAAUCCCCGGGCUUAACCUGGGAACUGCAUUUGAAACUGUCAGGCUGGAGUCUUGUAGAGGGGGGUGGAAUUCCAGGUGUAGCGGUGAAAUGCGUAGAGAUCUGGAGGAAUACCGGUGGCGAAGGCGGCCCCCUGGACAAAGACUGACGCUCAGGUGCGAAAGCGUGGGGAGCAAACAGGAUUAGAUACCCGCGUAGUCCCUGUCUCUUAUAC
rnacentral:rRNA from 1 species